CCAUCCAUCUCCCUCUCCCCACCAUCUCUCCCCUACUCUGAUUCUUUCCCUCUCCCCUACCAGUAAAAAUAGCCUAAAAUGUUGGUUUGCAAUCUGUUCUCCGACAAAAGCCUGCCAUCACUUGGAAAAUUGGGUUAGACCCUCUUGGGGUUAAAUCUACAGCAAUGCAAGGCAAUCAACAGUGGUGCAGUUGACCUGCUAGUGGAGAAGCUAUGGAGGUGUGAUAUCCUUUUCUAAACGAUGUUGCAGUAUGGGAUUAUCAACAACUCGGGUUUUGACCCUUCGAGAAGCUUCAAAAUAGCCUUUGUUAGUAUUAGCAGUUUGUGUAGUUUUUGGGUCCAUUAGCUAUGGGUCUUCCAUUAUCUGGUACUUAGUCCCCUUUUCUGGGGAAUACGACCGUUCUCCUUUUUUCUUUUUUACAGGUCUCUUUACAUCAGAGAUUUGUUACCAAGUUUUGAAUCCCAAUCAUGAGUGUUGGUUUCUUCAUGGCUGGAGUUCCCUGAGAAUACAGUCGCUGCUAGGUUCUGGAUUUUAGGGAAUCUUUCCUUCCUUCCUCGUAAAGGUUUUAGUCUGUUGGGUUUCUGGUGUUUUUGCUUAGCAAUGUUCAUUUCUACAUGGGCUAAGCUUUUUGUUAUUUGUCACUGUCUUUUGUCCAUCAUAGUUGGUUUGACCAAGUCUCCCACAUUUUUUAACUCAAAUGUUCUAUACGUGAUGUUGGGUCUUUUUCUUUUCUUACAGUGAGGGAGAGGGAAAGAAUCAGAGUAGGGGAAGAGGGUUAGAAAAGGGACGGUGGGGGAGAGGAAAAGAAUCAGAAUAGGAGGAGGUAUGAUGGGGAGG
rnacentral:lncRNA from 1 species